rnacentral:rRNA from 1 species
AUUGAACGCUGGCGGCAUGCCUUACACAUGCAAGUCGAACGGUAACGGGCCUUCGGGUGCCGACGAGUGGCGAACGGGUGAGUAAUGUAUCGGAACGUACCUUUCAGUGGGGGAUAACGUAGCGAAAGUUACGCUAAUACCGCAUAUUCUGUGAGCAGGAAAGCAGGGGAUCGCAAGACCUUGCGCUGAUUGAGCGGCCGAUAUCAGAUUAGCUAGUUGGGGAGGUAAAGGCUCACCAAGGCGACGAUCUGUAGCGGGUCUGAGAGGAUGAUCCGCCACACUGGAACUGAGACACGGUCCAGACUCCUACGGGAGGCAGCAGUGGGGAAUUUUGGACAAUGGGGGCAACCCUGAUCCAGCCAUGCCGCGUGAGUGAAGAAGGCCUUCGGGUUGUAAAGCUCUUUCGGCCGGGAAGAAAUCGUAUCAGCUAAUACCUGGUGCGGAUGACGGUACCGGCAAAAGAAGCACCGGCUAACUACGUGCCAGCAGCAGCCGCCGUAA